UCUGGAGAACCUGAGGUUCCUCGUUGUUGCUCUACUUCUCCUGAUGAUUAUCAGUGUAAUUGUCGUAAAUUUAAGAUACUGGAGGAAAUCUGUUCAACAAGGAACAACUAACACCAAAUUCCCUUCUGGUUUUUCGGAUGAACCAGAGAGCCUGCAGGACUAUGAAAACAUUAGUAAUGCAACUGCACGUGCACCAACAUCUCCAUAUCUACUUGACAACCACACCAGUGAAGGUGAAGUGGAGCUGAACU